GCCCGAGCCCCUCUCCUUCUCACGAGCGGAUCCGUCGCUGCCCUCGCCCCAUCGUCGCCCCACCACCGCUCGCCGCUGCGGAUCCGCCGACUCCGCCGCCGUUCCUCUCUAGCAUCCGCCGCCGCCGGCCCUCUCCGCCCUCCCCCGGUCUUCUCUGCACUCUGUCGCCCAGUUCUUCUUCCCCUCCCCAUCCUCUCCUAAUCUUCUCCAGCGCGCGCACUCGCGGAUGCAAGCGAAUGGCUCGGGCAGGAGACAUGGCUCACGGCGGCGGCGUCUCUCCUCGGGAGGAGCUCGGACGUUGAGGUCGGGGUGUGCGCUACCCUUAGGACGGAGUCCACCGACCCGUGCUGGUCAUGGUCCACCACCACCACGCCUUCAAUCCGACCUCCACCACUCCAGCAAGCAGGAGCAUCGCACUGGCUGCGGUCUGCUCAAUUUAACAAUUGAAAUAUUAGUUUCUUGAUCCUUUCUGAGAUCAUGUUUUGUUUGCAUCUGAUAAUUAGGAUGACCUCCUUUCUUUCAGGUUUGUAUGCUAAAAUGAACUUGAGUGACGAGGUCGAUUUUUUUGUAUGCUAGGAUGAACUUGAGUGACGAGGUUGAUUUGGAAGAUCAUGUCUCCAGACAGGAUAAAAUCAGUGCUACUAAUGUGAGUUGAUUUGGAAGAUUGUCUCCAGACAGGAUAAAAUCAAUGCUGAUGAUUCUGCUGCUAUUUGACAGGAAGCUGGCAUGCCUGUUAUCCACAAAAAUCGGUAAUGUUAUCCUGCCCAAGGACUUCGAGAAGGGUUACCUAACCAACGUUAAGAAGCCUUAGACAGACUUCGACUUCUACAAAUGAGGCAACAAACUAUUAAAGAGGAUGCUUUAUUUCCUACGGGCAACAAUUAUUAACACUAGAGUUGAAUUUGUUGAUGGUCGCGUCCGAUAGUAAUAUCCCUGUAUCUUGGUGCUCAUGUAGUUUGCACAUUCAGUCUCAUUAGUGUUGUUAAGCUACUUGCCUUCACAAAGCGUCAUGGGAUUUGCUUCCCAGCGAGAGAGAAGAGUUCAAAAAGGGAGAGAGCAAAGAAGAAGGACAAGGAGAGGGCAGUGGCGUCGUGUAGAGACUGUGGCCGGUGAAGCAUAACUAGAAGUUUCUCUAAUGGUCGACAACAAGGAUCACUGCACAACAGGCUUUGGAGCAGGCUCUGAUUCAUAGAGAACUCCCCAAAAACCUCAUCUUUUGAGGAUAUUAGAUGGAUAUUGAAUCCAGUUAGCCUCCAAUAGAUAAAGGAAGUCAAAUUUUCUGUUGGUAAUUUGCACGACAGGGUUCUAGCAAGUUUAUGAUUGUGUCUACAAUAGACUACCUCUGCCUGAAGAUUUGAGAUUUUUCAGAGAAGAAAGAACUCUAGAGGUGUGCAUGUUUAUCAUAUUUUUAUGGAGAAUCAAGUCUGCAGAAUACCUACUGAUUUGAGGAAUUCGGAUGUUACCCAUGGUCAUACACGGAUGUAGUUUAUGAGAAGCUAUCUUAUGUUGAUGGUGUGUAAGCAUAUCAGCCUCCCGGUUGCCUAUUUCAUUCCUCACGGGACCAUUAUGCUGGGCUAAUUGAGGUUUACAUGAAGAGGGAGAAUGCCGGCAGCUGGAAUUCUGAGCUGGAAAAGGAGCAAAUAUUAAAGACCUAUU